AGAUUGAACGCUGGCGGCAUGCCUUACACAUGCAAGUCGAACGGUAACGCGGGGCAACCUGGCGACGAGUGGCGAACGGGUGAGUAAUGCAUCGGAACGUGCCCAGUAGUGGGGGAUAGCUCGGCGAAAGCCGGAUUAAUACCGCAUACGACCUAAGGGUGAAAGCGGGGGACCGUAAGGCCUCGCGCUAUUGGAGCGGCCGAUGUCAGAUUAGGUUGUUGGUGGGGUAAAAGCCUACCAAGCCGUUUACGAUCUGUAGCUGGUCUGAGAGGACGACCAGCCACACUGGGACUGAGACACGGCCCAGACUCCUACGGGAGGCAGCAGUGGGGAAUUUGGACAAGUGGGGCAACCUGAUCAGCCAUGCCGCGUGCGGAAGAGGCCUUGGUGUAACCGCUUUGUCGAGGUAAGAACG
rnacentral:rRNA from 1 species